AUGAGGCGCCAGGAUUUUCUGCUAUUUUGGAAGGCCACUUGGUGGAUAAGACCACAAGAUCAUGAGUGGCACCAGGCCCCUCACCCUCUGAAUGAGACACUUCCUUAUCAUCUACAUUUUUCAGAAAUCAGAGGCCCACAACAAUUUGCUCUCUCAGGCACAACAGAAAUAUAUAACCAAACAGAAAUCUGCAAGAGAGCCAAUCUAGCUCUAACAGAAAUCCGCAAAUAUUCCAAUCUUAAAGAACCAGCAUCCAACACAUUAAGCUUCAACAAAGAAGCUCAAAUAACACAGCAACAAUCAAAACAGGAAGAUGAUAACAAGCAAAGCAUGCACUUGCCGAUUAAGAUUCAGUUUGACAAGCGAUGA
rnacentral:rRNA from 1 species